rnacentral:rRNA from 1 species
UACGGAGGGGGCUAGCGUUGUUCGGAAUUACUGGGCGUAAAGCGCGCGUAGGCGGACCUGCAAGUCGGGGGUGAAAGCCCGAGGCUCAACCCUCGGAACUGCCUUCGAUACUGCGGGUCUCGAGUCCGGGAGAGGUGAGUGGAAUUCCGUAGUGUAGAGGUGAAAUUCGUAGAUAUUAGGAAGAACACCAGUGGCGAAGGCGGCUCACUGGCCCGGUACUGACGCUGAGGCGCGAAAGCGUGGGGAGCAAACAGGG